rnacentral:rRNA from 1 species
AAUUAACGCUGGCAGAGUGCAUAACACAUGCAAGUCGAGCGAGACUACUUGAGAUUACAUCAACUGGUAGUCUAGCGGCAGACGAGUGAGUAACACGUAGACAAUCUGCCCCCGAAAGGUGAAUAACGCGCCGAAAGGCGUGCUAAUGCGCCGUACUAUCCCAUGGCGGCAUCGUCGAGGGAUGAGAGGCCCGCAAGGGCCGUUCGGGGAGGAGCUGCGACCCAUCAGCUAGUUGGCGGUGUAAUAGACCACCAAGGCUAUGACGGGUACCCGGCCUGAAAGGGCGGACGGGCACGAAGGCACUGAGAUACGGGCCUUACUCCUACGGGAGGCAGCAGUGGGAAUUUUGGACAAUGGGCGAAAGCCUGAUCCAGCAACUCUGCGUGAGGGACGAAGUUCUUCGGAAUGUAAACC